rnacentral:lncRNA from 1 species
GGAACAGAAACACGCCGUCGCGCACCAGCAAAGCGGGCCCUUUUGUAGCUUCUCUUUGCUACCAGCAAACAGAUGUAGAGACCAGCACAACGGCUCUUAGAAAAGUCUGGAAGGAGUGAGACGAUGAGGAGAAAUUGGUGCUUGGAUACUUUGUGUAACAUGCUUAAAGUCACGUUAAAACUAACACAAACAAUGUCAAGAGCCUCAGUUCUUAAUACUGAAAUUAGGAAGCCAUUGAGGACAGGCUGUUUGUAUAAUCCCUGAUAAAAUGACUAUUAAGAGAAUGAGAACAGACUUUUUAAAAGUAUAUUCCGGCUCUUUACUUUGGAAAUUUUAAAUCCUGGAUGAGACAGAAAAAUUGGAGGACAAAUAAAAA